GUGGGGUGGGGGUGGGGGGGCAAGAUGGAGCGCCAGGCGUCGCAAAGGCCCCAGGCAAAGGAGCCAGGGAGACAAAGCUCUCUCUGCCUUUUCUAAGAACGCGCUAAGAUGGCACCCCUCGGAGAGCUGUGAGCUCAGCGCCCAGUGACCAGUUCCAGAACUCGGUAGCCAGAAGGAGCGGGACCUUCUUAGUCUCCAGACAGCUGCUCCGAGCCUGUCAUUGUGGCAGAGUCGGGCACCGGAUGCUCCUUUCCAACCUUGCACUUCCGCUCUUAGCCGGUAUAGCUAGCCUGCAGGCUUCAGCGGCAAAGCCGGUGGAGUGGCUCAUUGUCCAGGAUCAGCGGUGCUGCUGAAGGACUUUUGAUGACCUCGCAACAUUUGAUAUCGAUGCAGACCACUAAGAUAAGCACAAAGCCCCGGUGGCCAUUGGGCGCUUUAAGCUGCAGCUAGCUCAACCGAGGAAGUAGAUAACGAAGACUUUCUAUUCAGUCUUGGCCGGAUGCUCCAAACCCAAGGACUUAUGGUGUUAGCCGAAUGUGCCCUCCAUUAGCUCUUGAUGGUGAAUCAAAGCCAGAAUCUAAGAGGACAGGUUAUAUGUUA